UACGUAGGUCCCGACCGUUAAUCGGAAUUACUGGGCGUAAAGCGUGCGCAGGCGGUCUCCAAAGUCAGCUGUGAAAUCCCCGGGCUCAACCUUGGAACUGCGCUUGUGACUGCGAGGCUAGAGUGCGGAAGAGGGAGGUGGAAUUCCACGUGUAGCAGUGAAAUGCGUAGAGAUGUGGAGGAACACCGAUGGCGAAGGCAGCCUCCUGGGCCAGCACUGACGCUCAUGCACGAAAGCGUGGGGAGCAAACAGG
rnacentral:rRNA from 1 species